rnacentral:lncRNA from 1 species
AAGCUAAGAUGGCUGUGUUUUUAACAUGCAUUCUUGAAGGUGUGAAAAAUAAAGGUUUUGAAGUGAUUACUUUAGAGCUCCUGCUGAAGUUGUGAACUUAACCUAAUGUUCAAAAUGGCUCUUCACCUUUUCCAGUUUCCAUCCAGCUCUGGGUUAUGAUUGGUCAUUAUUUGAUAAUUGGGGGGGGGGGGGGGGUAGGACUGGGAAAAUUGGAAAAAAAUACCCAACCUUUGUUUGUAAUUUCUGAAUAGAAUUUUAAAACACUACCUUGACUCUUACAGUUAAAUUUUGCUUAGAUUUCAUUAAUGUAGAAUUCUUAAGUAGUCUUCAGUGGUUUAUAUUGAAGUAUCAUAAAAGGAAGGAAGGGUUUGCCAACAGAAUUGAUUAGAAAGAAUUGGAGGGUUCUUGUGGGCUAAUUAUUGCAGAAGUGCAAGGGCCGUGCGUCUAAGGCGUCUCCAAUGCCCUGGGUCCAUGCUGUUGUCACAGACUCGACCAUUCCAGCCAUGGGAACGUCAGUCCUUCUUUUUAGUAAAGGACUAGACAGUGUUUCUCUGGGUAGUCUGUACUCAGGUCUUGGUUCUAGUGUGUGCUUUUUGUCAUUCCUGCUCUCCCUUCCCAAUGAGAAGGCCCUGGGCAGCCCUUUCUUUAAAAACCACAGUGUCCUGCAGUCUAUUGGGCACUGUGAGCUAGGGAGGGCCACGUGUUGCCACUUUGGCUCGUGAAGUACUCAGGCUGUUGAUUUCCUGUCUUUCCUAGGUGCCAAUUCCACCUCCUCUGCUACUUUUUUUUUUCUUUUAAUUUUUUGGAAAUUAUAGUCCUCACGGGUUUCCUUUUCUUGGGCCACGUUGUUUUUAUUCCUCAUCUGUGCAGAGCUGGGUAUGUUCCUAAGUAGAAGGGUUCAGCUUGCUCUUCCUCCUCAGGCUUUGAAAAGGUUGAGUGUAAAUGUUGUUAGAUAAUGGAGUAACCAUUCCUUUUCAGCUUUGGUUUGUUUCCACCCUGGCUGCCAGAGCCAGGAGGAAGUGAAGGCAGGCGACACUGUCGUGGUCACUGCCUCCUUAAUGCUGAGAUGUAACCUUUGUUGGUUGUUUGGUAGAGAACAGGACAGCACAACCCUCGGUCCACUAACAGGUAAGGAAACUUGUGAUAACCAGUUGGUGUGAGGGGAAAACAACUUGGCUGCAUUUCCCCUCCUUCGCUCACCCAGAAUAUAACAGGUCCCAGAAAUAGGACACCAUGGCUGACUGACACGCGCCGCAGGGACACGCGGCACCUUUAGGAAUAGAGGAGGGGCUUCAGGCUUCAGCGGAGCUUACCACCCUGCGCACAGGCAGCUGGUCCCUUCCCCAAGGCAGUGCUGUUCGUUCCUAUCCUUUAAAUCCGCACCUGCCUCUGCAUCUCCUUUGAGCUUUCCAGGGAUCAGACACUGUGAGCUUUUGAACCUCUGUCCCACAGUAAAACUGUUUCCCAGCAUCUUCACCAUCAUCUAUUGUUUGGAAUACUUCCGUGUUCUAAUCUCUACAUUCUGGCCACUAAUGAUUAUUCCUGGUCCCUCUUGACUCCAAAUAAAAGGAUCAUGCAUGU